rnacentral:rRNA from 1 species
AUUGAACGCUGGCGGCAGGCCUAACACAUGCAAGUCGAACGAGUGGCGGACGGGUGAGUAAUGUCUGGGAAACUGCCUGAUGGAGGGGGAUAACUACUGGAAACGGUAUCUAAUACCGCAUACCAUCGGAUGUGCCCAGAUGGGAUUAGCUAGUAGGUGGGGUAAAGGCUCACCUAGGCGACGAUCCCUAGCUGGUCUGAGAGGCUGACCGGCCAAACUGGAACUGAGACACGGUCCAGACUCCUAGGGGAGGCAGGAGUGGGGAAUAUUGCAAAAUGGGCGAAAGCCUGAAGCAGCCAUGCCGCGUGUAUGAAGAAGGCUUUCGGGUUGUAAAGUACUUUCAGCGGGGAGGCGUUACCCGCAGAAGAAGCACCGGCUAACUCCGUGCAAGCAGCCGCGUAAUUC